CUACGGGAUGCAGCAGUGGGGAAUAUUGCACAAUGGAGGAAACUCUGAUGCAGCAACGCCGCGUGGAGGAUGACACUUUUCGGAGCGUAAACUCCUUUUAUAUAGGAAGAAGAUGACGGUACUAUAUGAAUAAGCGCCGGCUAACUCCGUGCCAGCAGCCGCGGUAAUACGGAGGGCGCAAGCGUUACUCGGAAUCACUGGGCGGAAAGAGCGUGUAGGCGGAUUAAAAAGUCAGAAGUGAAAUCCUAUAGCUUAACUAUAGAACUGCUUCUGAAACUCUUAAUCUAGAAUAUGGGAGAAGUAGAUGGAAGUUCUGGUGUAGGGGUAAAAUCCGUAGAGAUCAGAAGGAAUACCGAUUGCGAAGGCGAUCUACUAGAACAUUAUUGACGCUGAGACGCGAAAGCGUGGGGAGCAAACAGGAUUAGAUACCCCGGUAGUC
rnacentral:rRNA from 1 species